UUUAUAGGGUUUUUCUUUGAUCUAAUUAAAUCCCAUUGUGAUUCAGAUUAGAAGUUUAAUAGAAGUGGAGCCUCCAAGUCCACUCAGAUACCUAAUCGGAGCCGCCGUAAUGAUGAUCGGAGUUGUUUUACCGGUCGGUUACAUGAUGUUCCGAAAUAAGCGCGUUCCUUCCUCUUCCUCCUACACCAAACAGACGUAGGUGUGCCCUUUCUUUUUUCAAUUCCUAUUAUUUUUUCAUCACAUACAUCUCAAAUCAAUUAAACAUUUAUUUAUAAUUAAUGUUCAUGUUUGGCAUUUAAAAUUAGCAAAUUGUUUAAGAUGUAGAAGUUGAAAUUGUUUGUGUGUGUGUGUGUGUUGUCUUAAAUUUUUGCCCUUAUUAUAUAAAAGUUUACUACUUUUGCCUCAUUCAAUUAUAUUAUUUUUCACUCAAUCUUCAUUUAAUUUAAAAUAUUUAACAUUAAUUAUUAAAUAUUUGACAAUUUAAUAAAUUUAACUUGUGUUUUACAUAAAUUUUUUUAAAAUAAUUAUAUUUAACUAUAUUUCUCAAUGGAUGCAAAAAUAAUUUAUUUUCUUAUAAUAAUAACCUUAUACUUAUAUUUUUUUUAUACUAUUAAUUUUUAUCAGUUAACAAAUAAAUACCCUUAUAUAAAAAUAAUAAAAAAUAUAAGUAAACAUCUUUUUAUAAAAUAUAAACAAUUAUUUAAACGCCUUUAAACCCUUCAUUGUAUUGAAAAAUAUCAAUAUUAUUAUAUUAAUUUUUAUUUUAAAUUUAAUAUUAUAUAUGUUAAUUAUGAUUGAAUAUACCAUAUUUUUUAAGAUGAGAAAAGAAAAAUAAAAUAAACAAUUAAACAAAUGAAAUAAGAAGAGAGGAAAAGAUUCAUAAGGUGCAAUUGCGGACCAGUUGCUUCAUUGGUGAGAAAAACUCAAAUGAGAUUGUUUGCAACGUCAGAUUGAUCUGACAGUCUAUAAUAAGCCAAAGUCACUCUUCCUUUUCCGCACAAAAGGCAGAGGAUCCGUUUCUGGUUAAUAGCCUGUAAAAAAAAAAGGUUAAUAAUAUAUACUGAGAAAAAAAUCAUACAAAAAAUCACAGUGGAAAAUGCUAGAUUUGGAGUGUAACAGAUUAAUCAAUCUGAUUUCAUUAAUUUAAUCUUCAGAUUCAGAGGAGAAGAAGCUUCAUCAACUAAACAUUGGAAGCGAUCGUCAUCACAAUAAUCACCACCGACAUGCCUGUAAGUUGAUAGAUCUGCUUCAGAUGAACACAUUUAUAGGGUUUUUCUUUGAUCUAAUUAAAUCCCAUUGUGAUUCAGAUUAGAAGUUUAAUAGAAGUGGAGCCUCCAAGUCCACUCAGAUACCUAAUCGGAGCCGCCGUAAUGAUGAUCGGAGUUGUUUUACCGGUCGGUUACAUGAUGUUCCGAAAUAAGCGCGUUCCUUCCUCUUCCUCCUACACCAAACAGACGUAGGUGUGCCCUUUCUUUUUUCAAUUCCUAUUAUUUUUUCAUCACAUACAUCUCAAAUCAAUUAAACAUUUAUUUAUAAUUAAUGUUCAUGUUUGGCAUUUAAAAUUAGCAAAUUGUUUAAGAUGUAGAAGUUGAAAUUGUUUGUGUGUGUGUGUGUGUUUUAAUGUGAAAUUGUGCAUUGCUGGUAUUUCAGGAA
rnacentral:lncRNA from 1 species